ensembl:snRNA U6 U6 spliceosomal RNA
AUGCUCACUUCAGCAGCAUAUAUACUAAAAUUGGAACGAUACAGAAGAUUAGCAUGGCCCCUGCACAAGGAUGACACACAAAUUCAUGAAGUGGUCCAUAUUAAA